UAGUACAGUGUGGUCGCCUCCCUGGUAUGAUAUGAUUCGUGGGCAAUGUUACAAGCCCAAAACUAAUUGAUAUUUUUAACCUAACUUGUUCUAUAAAUACACACAUCAAUGAUCAACUGAUGCUUCACCUAAACAAGAAACCACACUCAUCUCACGAGUUAGGUCAAAAACAGCCGUCUUGGCUGUGUUCUGCACCUCUAGAUCUCGAGUCGAGGCCCUUCUCUAUCUGUUAGUUGUUGAUGAGUAAUGAAAAUAAGUGGUCCUAGAGGCCACUUUGUUAGUAGGAUAUGUUGUAAUAGCCUUUGAGCAACUUGUUAGGCUCAUUUUGAUUUAUGUUUUGAGAUACUUUGUAAUCGAUUCUUAGCUAGGUGUAUUGUUGAUUCCUAAACCUGUCUCCCGUUUACGGUGGGCAGGAGGGCAGCGCAUGAGGCUAAGAUGGUAAUUGAACUUACGGAUUCCGGAAAGGAAGUCCGGACUAGUGAACUUGCUUAUCUUCGUCCAGACGACGAUGUUCUUGAAACAGGGACCGGAUAAUAGGAUUUUUGAUCUUGACAAGAUGCUUAAGGGGAGCUAUGGGAAGCGGCGGUGACUUAAUAUACUUCUCUGAUCCCUGGCGUUUAGUGAAAGCCAGGAGUGAGAGUGAAGCAUAUCUGGGAAGAAUUCAUGGACAAGGAGAUCUUCGGCAUGGUCACACAAGCAAAUGUUGGUGCUGCAUAUGUGUGUGAUUGGAUUACAAAACCAGAUUUUGGUGGAUACUUGGAUCUUUCCAUUUAUGAUGAUGUUAUGAAGUUCUCGAAUUACAAGGAGUUCUGAAUCAAUGUUCUGAUGUCAGCAUCUUGAAGAAACAGAGAAGUGGCUCUGCUAGCUCUUUUGAUCCACCAAUGGAUACACACAACGGUGUUCCUGAAUAGACUUAGCUGGCAUCAUCACUUUCAAAUGUGCGUUACCCACAUUUGCUCGCGUGACCUUGUUGAAGAUCCCUUUUUUGUGGUUUAUUCCCAAAUUUGUUCCAAUCUCCUGGUAAAUGCUUGGCAUCAGAGAACUAUCUUGAGUUACUGGCGCUUUCUAGAGCUUCCCAUAAGCAUCUUUACUUGGCCGAAAAUCCUGGAAUGCAGUCUCAGUUUUUGGGUACAUUUUCAUCUGGACGAAGAUAGGGAAUUCCGUUAGACAUGAUUUCCUUUCCAGAAUCUAUGAGUUCCGUUACCUUCUUGGCCUUCUGUACCGCCUCCCUGCCAAGUCGAAAACGGGAGACAGGUUUAGGAAUUGGAUUUACAUCUAGCUAGUGAAUUUAUGAACACCCUGGCCUAAAUUUGUACACUUGCUCAUUGGUUUCUGUUUUUGUAAUCCUCAGCUUCUUCUCCUCUAUAUACACUGUUUAUGCUGUUUUGUAUGAUGCAGUAUUUAAUUGAGAAGCUAAAUAAACGCUUACUUUCUAUCUCUUGUUAUUUUUCCUCCUGAUGCUGGUUUCUUAAUCAGCAUAUACAUGUUUGGUAUCAUUGUAGGUGCAGAUGCAUAUCACCUUUGUUAUAUUAUGUAAGUCACACUACAUUAACAAAAUAAAGGGUGCAUUUUUAUAAUUUAAAUAUAUUUAUAUAUGUGUAAUUUUGUCGCAGAGAGAUGUUUAGUAAGGUGUUAUUUAAUGAAAAUUUUGAGAACCAGGCAUAACCAAGUAAAGGUUGCAUGACUGCUUGCAACUUACAACUUACAAACACAGUUACUAAUAGCUAACAACUUAAGAACACCGCUUAUAGGUUUUGCAGAAGAGGCACUAGGUGUGGGAAAUGACCGUGAUUUUAUUAGAAAUUAGCAUAACUAUAAUUGGUAUGGAUACAUGUUGUCCAUAAGGCGUGCUUGUGUUUAAAAAGGAAUCUUCAAUAAUCAUAAAUUUGUAUGUUUCUCGUUCUCAGAGUUGGACAUUUUGUUGUGAUGAACUCGAGUCUAGCCAGAAUCUGUUAGUAUACCAUCAUUGUAGGCUUCACUGUUGUUUCUUUUCAUUUUACUAGUUGCAAUCAAGCAAAGAUUUAAUUAAUGAUUUUCUGAAUACAACAUGUUUCAGGCCUAUGAGCAUAUGUGCAAGGAUCCAGAAUUCCAGAUGACGGGCAUCAGUGGUUCUUGUUGGAGUUGGAAUUUUUGCAAUGCCUCUCUAGUCCAGCUUAUAUUUAGUGUACGUUUAAAUUAAGCAUUUUAUGGUUGUGUUUAUAUUGUUGUAUUAUUUUAUCUUUGCAGUUUAUGGAACAACUUCGAGGUCCUUAAUUUCUAAUUCGAAGCCAAAAAACUUGGGUGAAGGGAGAAAAAAGUUGUUAGUGCCUCGUUUCAAAAUUGUGUUCGGAAAAUGUGAAUAAUUACUCGCCUCAUCUAGCUCCAAAUAACUAAAAGAACAUUCCAGUCACGAGGCAUGAUUGAAGAAUUUAUUAGUAGGUGGCAAUUGGACAAUUGGUUAAAGCCUUGCACUUCAUUUACAAAGUCUGACUUGUGGGAAGAAUGUUCCAUAUUAUUCCCCUGCUAAAGCCUUCCUUCUUGAUGCUGGAAAGGCCGUAGCAGUGCAGCUUCUAUCGUGGAGGAUCCUCAUAGUCUCUUCCAAGCUGUCGUAUGUAUUUCGAAUUUAAACCUUGAUCAACCCGAUCUGUUGUGGCUCUUUAUCAAUUUGAUAUUAAUACAUGCCGUCUUAUAAUUAUUAACUUUUUUUUAGAGUUCAGUUGUAAAGGUUCCUGCUCUGUUCUUUAAGGAACCUCUGAUUGUUUCCGUUUGUUUUGAUUGUAUUGAAAUUACAUGCUUCAUUGCUA